rnacentral:misc_RNA from 1 species
GAAAAAUCCUAAGAUGCAUUCAUUGAUUCUUCUUCUUCACCUCUUUGUUGUUCAAAUUUUCCAUUUCUAUUUGCAAGGCUCAAUACUUUUUGCCCCACUAGAAGCCAAAGGAAUGGGAAAACCUGCCUUUUACUUUUUAUGAUAGACUCUAAUGCUUUGCAACAUUUGCCUCUCAAACCCAAGAUCUAGAAGUGAAUAAUAGGUACACCUCCCAUUACAUGGUAACAUAUCCAAUCUUUGUAGGCUCAUGCACACAUUAGAAACUCCCCCAUGACACUCUGUACCGAGUAAACUAAUAUUUUCUAUUUCCACAAACUAACAUGCACAUCAAUCACAACCCUAUCAAAUUGAACACUAGGAGAAGAAUCUACCAUUCUUGUAUGCAUACUAGUGCAAGCACACAUGCAAAAGAUACAAACAAAGCCCCCCAUCAUUGUAGUCUGCCAUAUGAAGUAACAUAUCCUGUUCCUAUACUAUAGAAACACAUGAAAAAGUAAAGCUAAACCCACCAAUAUCACAAUAAUUAAUCUAUCCUUAAUAUAUUACACAUUUAGACUAAUAACAUACCCGUUCUGUACAUAAACUAAUGCACCUCCAGUAUACGCAUUUCAUCUAUGCUUAUCCCCAUACUUCUGCGUAUCAGACUAAGUUAUGGAAACGAUUUGUGUAAAAGUAUCAUGAACCAAAAAUACAUCAUAAAUGAAC